UGGAGGUCUGCCAGAGUGGAUCUCCAUCCUGCAGGGGCUGAGGCACCCAGCUGCUACCAGUACUACCACCAUGUCACGUGGACCUUCUUUUUUCUUCUAAAUCUCAACCAUAUUAUCUAUAUGGCUGUGCAAGGAAGAUCAAUAAGGAGGAGCUCUAACAAUUUCCAUUGGUUUUCUGCAAUCCAAACCGAGAUGAUCCAGGCUUAAACAAGACGUAGGGAGUCUAGGGGUAGAGAAAGGCUGAUUCUUUGCUGUAUCUUACAGGAGGUCUACGCUUAUGAAUUCCAGCUUUUCAGGUGGAUAAUUUGACAUGAAGGUGCGUGUACACAGAUCUGACA
rnacentral:lncRNA from 1 species